rnacentral:tRNA from 1 species
GCCUUCAUAGCACAGUGGCAGUGCGUCUCAUUUGUAAUGAGAAGGUCGCGAGUUCAAUUCUCGCUGGGGGCU